rnacentral:rRNA from 1 species
AUUGAACGCUGGCGGCAUGCUUUACACAUGCAAGUCGAACGGUAACAGGCCUUCGGGCGCUGACGAGUGGCGAACGGGUGAGUAAAGCAUCGGAACGUGCCCAGUCGUGGGGGAUAACGUAGCGAAAGCUACGCUAAUACCGCAUACGAUCUGUGGAUGAAAGCGGGGGACCGUAAGGCCUCGCGCGAUUGGAGCGGCCGAUGUCGGAUUAGGUAGUUGGUGGGGUAAAGGCUCACCAAGCCGACGAUCUGUAGCUGGUCUGAGAGGACGACCAGCCACACUGGGACUGAGACACGGCCCAGACUCCUACGGGAGGCAGCAGUGGGGAAUUUUGGACAAUGGGCGCAAGCCUGAUCCAGCAAUGCCGCGUGCAGGAUGAAGGCCUUCGGGUUGUAAACUGCUUUUGUACGGAGCGAAAAGGCUUCCACUAAUACUGGGGGCUCAUGACGGUACCGUAAGAAUAAGCACCGGCUAACUACGUGCCAGCAGCCGCGGUAAGAC